rnacentral:lncRNA from 1 species
GGCCUAGUCCUUCCAGUGAGCAAUGAUAUGUAGGAUCUCUCAAAGAAAAUUCUCAUUCCAUACAUACCGAGUGUCUUUCCCCACUCUUUUGUUUUUAGCUUGUCAUGGCAAGAUUUCUUCCUGGCAAGUUAAGUAUAUGUGAAUGUUCAUCAACAUGCAAAAACUGAGUUGCAGUUAUUUGAUGUUUUGCCAGGGCAGUUUCUACGAGAUGCAAACAUGAUUGUGCUUGUCGCCCAGGACCAGGAUGUCGACGUAUGGUGUGCACCAGGAGGCGAACUCGUGCGGCUCAAGGACAGAUUGUUGUGAUGAUCUAUCUGGGUUGUCUAGAAAAAUCCCAAUUUUGAGUGAAGAGUGGAUCCUGUUUGCUGCAAUCUUCAGUACGUAUUGGAUCCCAAUUCCGUUUGUUUCUGGGAUGAUGCAGAUUUUUUGCCUGUCUAUACUAUAACUUGCUGAGAAGAACCAAUUGUCGCAGAUACUAGUGUCGAUGUUGCCUAACCAUUGUUCGAGGCUGAAGAAGCAAAUAGAUGAUCUGGAUGAGAAGAUGGUGGUGACUGACUCUUCUCCCGAGUCUUUGGCGUCCAAGUAGAUCCAGGUGAGUACUUUAGUAACUCAGGCCAUAUGAUCUGGGGCAACAUUGCUGCAUGACAUUAUUUGGCCAUCUCAGUUUUUACUGGUUGCACGACUAUAGCUCCUUUAGUAACCCAGGCCAGUAUGGCCAUUCAGAUAAAUUUGGCCAUCUUCAAGGGAUACGAAAUGACCACUCAAGUAACCCAGUUCCAGUGUAAUACGGACAUGAAGUAAAGCACCAGAUCAUAAUUGUUGUAGCGGCCCUUGUUCUACCUUGGCACCUCGUGCCAACAUAACAAACUGUUUUUAGGCCGUUGUGAUGUAAACUGCCGGUCCAUGUCUUUUGAUAAGCAAGCACAUUUAUCUAGAUGUCAUGUUAGUGUGUGCUUUGAUAGCUGCAUGUUGUCCGUCAAGUAAGAGUGCAUUUACCAACCAUACCAGGAUCCAUCUCAAUACGAGUUAGCAUCUGAUAGCUGUUGCAUGUUCUUUUCAUUUUGUUGGUACAAUUUCUGUUUGUCCAUAAUCUUAGAGCCUAAGUACUAUUUAUGAGAAUUUCCUGAAAGUGAAAUAUGACAAGAAAACUGGACUGGUUAAGGUGUUAUGUUUGUAAAAACUCUUGCUAACAGAUGCUGCUAAGCUAGCUAUGUUAAAUUUCUUGAGGUGGCUGAUAAGAACUUGUGGCAUACUCGACCUAUUCCAAUGUGUUUUGCUGAUGUGCUUCUUGGACGUGACAGGAUUGUCCUUUGUAGGUUGCUUUCUUGUGAUAACCCCUUGUUCGUUUGCUAUUAAUUGAUCUUGUUCUCUCUUGCUCUUUGCCCAGGAUGGUGAGGACGGCGAAAAGAAAAGAUUUUUGCUGGAGAUGGUGCACCCACACCCAUCGGGCUAUUCUUCCGGAGGGCAAAGCGGGCAAGAAGAGGGGUCAAUGGAGCUUGGAGCUCUAUGGGAAGUCUGGUGGUUUUGCUUUAUAUUUUGAUUUUUACAUGUGAAUGGGACGUUGUUUGCCUCGUUUUGCCGGGUGCUCAUGUUGUAUCCAACAUAUGUCUUUUUGAAAAGCAAUGUCAUGCUUCUCUAUGGGAGACGAGAGGUGCAUUUGGGAAGUCGCAAAAUCAUUGCUUUGUCAUGGGCUGGUCUGAGUUUCAAACAAUGUGAUGUUUUUUUUCUCUCGAAUGACAACCAGGAUAUUAGUAUGAUCUUUUUUUUAUCCAAUGUAUGUACCGAAGGAUCAUCACCCUCUUAUGUUUUUGUGUCGUGAAUACUCACGAGCUAAUCAUCCUCGUGUUUCGUAAAAUUUAAG